rnacentral:rRNA from 1 species
CAGCCGCCGCGGGAACACAGAGGCCUCAAGCGUUGUUCGGAUUCAUUGGGCGUAACGGGUGCGUAGGCGGUCGGGUAAGUCGGAUGUGAAAUCCUGGGGCUCAACCUCAGAACUGCAUUCGAUACUGCUCGGCUAGAGGACUGGAGAGGAGAUCGGAAUUCACGGUGUAGCAGUGAAAUGCGUAGAUAUCGUGAGGAAGACCAGUGGCGAAGGCGGAUCUCUGGACAGUUCCUGACGCUGAUGCACGAAGGCUAGGGGAGCAAACGGGAUUAGAUACCCGCGUAGUCCCUGUCUCUUAUAC